rnacentral:rRNA from 1 species
UCUAUACCGUGAAACUGCGAAUGGCUCAUUAAAUCAGUUAUCGUUUAUUUGAUAGUACCUUACUACUUGGAUACCCGUGGUAAUUCUAGAGCUAAUACAUGCUAAAAACCCCGACUUCGGGAGGGGUGUGUUUAUUAGAUAAAAAACCAACGCCCUUCGGGGCUCCUUGGUGAUUCAUGAUAACUUCUCAGAUCGCAUGGCCUUGCGCCGGCGACGGUUCAUUCAAAUUUCUGCCCUAUCAACUUUCGAUGGUAAGGUAUUGGCUUACCAUGGUUUCAACGGGUAACGGGGAAUUAGGGUUCGAUUCCGGAGAGCGAGCCUGAGAGACGGCUAGCACAUCCAAGGAAGGCAGCAGGCGCGCAAAUUACCCAAUCCCGACGCGGGGAGGUAGUGACAAUAAAUACUGAUACAGGGCUCUUUUGGGUCUUGUAAUUGGAAUGAGUACAAUUUAAACCCCUUAACAAGGAACAAUUGGAGGGCAAGUCUGGUGCCAGCAGCCGCGGUAAUUCCAGCUCCAAUAGCGUAUAUUAAAGUUGUUGCAGUUAAAAAGCUCGUAGUUGACCAUUUGGCCUGGCUGGCAGGUCCGCCUCACCGCGUGCACUUGUCCGGCCGGGCCUUUCUUUCUGGACAACCGCAUGCCCUUCGCUGGGUGUGUUGGGGACCAGGACUUUUACUUUGAAAAAAUUAGAGUGUUCAAAGCAGGCCUUUGCUCGAAUACGUUAGCAUGGAAUAAUGGAAUAGGACGCGUGGUCCUAUUUUGUUGGUUUCUAGGACCGCCGUAAUGAUUAAUAGGGACAGUCGGGGGCAUCAGUAUUCAAUUGUCAGAGGUGAAAUUCUUGGAUUUAUUGAAGACUAACUACUGCGAAAGCAUUUGUCAAGGAUGUUUUCAUUAAUCAGUGAACGAAAGUUAGGGGAUCGAAGACGAUCAGAUACCGUCGUAGUCUUAACCAUAAACUAUGCCGACUAGGGAUCGGGCGGUGUUAUUUUUUGACCCGCUCGGCACCUUGCGAGAAAUCAAAG